UAUCAAGUGCAAUUAUUUCAUUUAAAAUUUAUAAAACACUAAUGGUGAGAUUAAAAUUUUUUUUGCUCUAGAAAACGUUCUCCAUUUUAUGAGUAAUUAUUUAAAUCUUCCGUGACUUAGGAUUUAAUACUUUUAGAAUAAGGAAGUAAAGAAGACGGAAAAGGUGGGAAAAGAAUUAAUGGAGAGAAAAUAAACAGCAGAGUACAUAUAUAUGUAAUGCUAGGUGGGACAUUGAUUCGGUCAUCGUCCGAUGACGCAACACUGCUGAGUCUUGGUGCUGUCUAAACUCGGUCGCUGCACACAUACAUACAUAUAUUUUAUUGUUCAUAAGUAUUGAAUAUUUAUAAUAUAUAUAAAUAUAGAUGUGCAUGUAGUCAUGCAUGCAUAUAUAGAUUGCAGUGAACGUACGUCGAUUCUGUCUGCAUCAGCAAUUAAUUUUCCUGGCCUCGACUCUUCGCGUCGCGGUGGCCAGCAAACAUGCGCAGAAUCAGACCAAAGCCGGCAUCAAGUUUAGAACGUUCUAGAAGCCAACAGCCACGACUACGACUACGACUACGAGGAGGAUAAAGCAGGACAGAAUAUAUAUAAAUGAGCUGGGUAUAUAUAUGUAGGAAUAAGGAGUGAGUGAGCAAGUGGCGCCGCUAUCUCACUUGGAUUUAAUAGCGGCAGCAGCAGCUUUUUACUGUACAGGUUGAAUAGAGUACCAGUACUGGUACCAAAAGUUAUUUUUCUUAUUCCCGACUGCCCUGUGCUGUGGAUGAGGAGGAAUGUAAACAAAACAUGGGGUCUAAUGUUUGGAGAAGGAAAUAAACGUCAGGCAACUGACAUAACGCUUCUUUACAUUCUGUUCAACCAGUACUUCAGAAACUAAAGUUAAAUCCCGGUUGUUAUAUAAAUAUAACAAAUCUAUAUCUAUAUCUAUGCGUAUGCAUGAGAUAACGUUUGUUUGUAUAUAUUUUUUUGGUACUUGACAAUUACUAAGUACUGUAGGAAUAAAUACCUACCAAGGAUAAAUCAUCCAACGCGAGCUUAUCAACUUCCUCCAAAAUUAGUGCUAUCAAACCCGGACACACGUGCUCAGUCCUAUCAUGACCAUGUAUGAACCCCCUUUAUCCGACCCAUUAUCGCGCAGAUGCAGCAAUAAUCAGCUUGUUUUUAAUUAGUGUCUAAAUAUUCGGAGAUCGUGAGACCGUUGAAAAAAUUUGUGUUUACCUUGGAAGCAUGACGAGACCAAAGACGAGCCUGAACGAUUCUUCCUACGUCGUCUGCGUCUAGCUUCUUCCUGUCUUGCAUGGACUGAACUUAGUGGUUCUCCUGUUGAAGCCACAUCCCUGCGAUUUCCGUCAAC